rnacentral:rRNA from 1 species
GAUGAACGCUAGCGGCAGGCCUAACACAUGCAAGUCGAGGGGUAACUAGAGUGAUAGCAAUAUUACUUUGGCUAGACCGGCGCACGGGUGCGUAACACGUAUGCAACCUACCUUAUACUGGGGAAUAACUUCGAGAAAUCGGCGCUAAUACCCCAUAACAUUGCGAAGAGGCAUCUCUUUGCAAUUAAAGCUCCGGCGGUAUAAGAUGGGCAUGCGUCCAAUUAGCUAGUUGGUGAGGUAACGGCUCACCAAGGCUACGAUUGGUAGGGGUUUUGAGAGGAUGAUCCCCCACACUGGUACUGAGACACGGACCAGACUCCUACGGGAGGCAGCAGUGAGGAAUAUUGCGCAAUGGACGAAAGUUUGACGCAGCCAUGCCGCGUGCAGGAUGACGGCCCUAUGGGUUGUAAACUGCUUUUGUACGGGAAUAAACCCUUCUACGUGUAGGAGGCUGAAGGUACCGUAAGAAUAAGCACCGGCUAACUCCGUGCCAGCCGCCGCCGUAAAAC